rnacentral:misc_RNA from 1 species
GAUGAAGAACGUAGCGAAAUGCGAUAAGUAAUGUGAAUUGCAGAAUUCAGUGAAUCAUCGAAUCUUUGAACGCAUCUUGCGCUCCUUGGUAUUCCUUGGAGCAUGCCUGUUUGAGUAUCAUGAGCAAAUCUCAAAGUCAAUUCCUUUUGUUGAUUCAAUUGGUUUUGCUUUGGACUUGGAGGCCUUGCAGAUUUCACAGUCUGCUCCUCUUAAAUGCAUUAGCUGGAUCUCAGUAAUUAUGCUUGGUUCCUCUCGGCGUGAUAAGUAUCACUCGCUGAGGACACUGUUAAAAAGGUGGCCAGGAAAAUACUGAUUGAACCGCUUCUAACGGUCUAUUAAGUUAGACAAUUACCCUUAAGUUUGAUCUCAAAUCAGGUAGGACUACCCGCUGAACUUAAGCAUAUCAAUAAGCGGAGGA